GAUGAACGCUGGCGGCGUGCUUAACACAUGCAAGUCGAACGGUGAAAGAGAGCUUGCUCUCUGGAUCAGUGGCGAACGGGUGAGUAACACGUGAGCAAUCUGCCCCUGACUCUGGGAUAAGCGCUGGAAACGGCGUCUAAUACCGGAUACGAGCUGCGAAGGCAUCUUCAGCAGCUGGAAAGAACUUCGGUCAGGGAUGAGCUCGCGGCCUAUCAGCUAGUUGGUGAGGUAACGGCUCACCAAGGCGUCGACGGGUAGCCGGCCUGAGAGGGUGACCGGCCACACUGGGACUGAGACACGGCCCAGACUCCUACGGGAGGCAGCAGUGGGGAAUAUUGCACAAUGGGCGAAAGCCUGAUGCAGCAACGCCGCGUGAGGGAAGACGGCCUUCGGGUUGUAAACCUCUUUUAGCAGGGAAGAAGCGAAAGUGACGGUACCUGCAGAAAAAGCACCGGCUAACUACGUG
rnacentral:rRNA from 1 species